rnacentral:rRNA from 1 species
GACGAACGCUGGCGGCGUGCUUAACACAUGCAAGUCGAACGGAAAGGCCCUGCUUUUGUGGGGUGCUCGAGUGGCGAACGGGUGAGUAACACGUGAGUAACCUGCCCUUGACUUUGGGAUAACUUCAGGAAACUGGGGCUAAUACCGGAUAGGAGCUCCUGCUGCAUGGUGGGGGUUGGAAAGUUUCGGCGGUUGGGGAUGGACUCGCGGCUUAUCAGCUUGUUGGUGGGGUAGUGGCUUACCAAGGCUUUGACGGGUAGCCGGCCUGAGGGGGUGACCGGCCAAAUUGGGGAGGGGAAACGGCCCAACCUCCCUGGGGGGGAGAAGUGGGGGAAAUUUCACAAAAGGGGGGAAAGCCAGGGAACAACACCGCGCGGGGGGGAUGGGCCCUUGCGGUGUGAAACCCUUUUUCCCGUGGGAAAACGGGGGGGGGGGGGAAAGGGGAAAAAACCCCCGGGCUAAACAUG